AUGGCCAUGGCAAUGGACGAGCAGCCGUCGCACCCGUACCGCCGCUGGGGGCUGCCCCUCGAGAGCGGCACGGGGCACAGGUUAACCCCGAGGGCGAAUGAGCCCAUCUACGUCACGGAUGUCUUCCUCGUCGACGCGAAGAGCGCCGGCGGCCACGGCGCCGUGGCCGCCUGCGUCGAGAUCGGCACGCGGGACCUCCUGCUCGGGCUGGUGUCCGCGGAGAACCCCCACGUGGAGCUGCAGACGCCGGUGAUGCUGGACGAGGAGUUUCGCUUUUACGUCAUGGGGCCCGGAGACGACGCCAACGCCGAUGCCGGCACAGGCACAGACACUGAAGACGACGCCGACGCCGACGUGGCAGUCGUCAUGUUCGAGGGUUUUCUUGUCACAAACACGGAGGAGGACGCUGCCGACGACAAGGAUGAGGAGUACGAGGAGAGGGAGGAGACCUACGGCGAGCUCGACCGAUACGUGGCCAGGGCGAGCAGUGCCGGUGGCAUCUCCAAGGACGCUCGGCAGGUUGUAGCCAUAGCUAUAGCAUUCUUAGGAAUUCUGGUGUCUGUCUCUAUGUUAGCAUUCCUCGGAUUGAUAAAGUAA
rnacentral:rRNA from 1 species